GACGAACGCUGGCGGCGUGCUUAACACAUGCAAGUCGAACGGAAAGGCCCUGCUUGCAGGGUACUCGAGUGGCGAACGGGUGAGUAACACGUGGGUGAUCUGCCCUGCACUUCGGGAUAAGCCUGGGAAACUGGGUCUAAUACCGGAUAGGAGCCAUUUUUAGUGUGAUGGUUGGAAAGUUUUUUCGGUGUAGGAUGAGCUCGCGGCCUAUCAGCUUGUUGGUGGGGUAAUGGCCUACCAAGGCGGCGACGGGUAGCCGGCCUGAGAGGGUGGACGGCCACAUUGGGACUGAGAUACGGCCCAGACUCCGACGGGAGGCAGCAGUGGGGAAGAUUGCACAAUGGGCGCAAGCCUGAUGCAGAGACGCCGCGUGGGGGAUGACGGCCUUCGGGUUGUAAACUCCUUUCGCUAGGGACGAAGCUUUUUGUGACGGUACCUAGAUAAGAAGCACCGGCUAACUACGUG
rnacentral:rRNA from 1 species